UGCAUCCCUUGGCCAGUGGCUCUCAACAUUUCCAGACUACUGUACCCCUUUCAGGAGUCUGACUUGUCUUGCGUACCCGCAAAUUUCACCUCACUGAAAAACAACUUGCUCACAAAAUCAGA